rnacentral:rRNA from 1 species
UACAGAGGGUGCAAGCGUUAAUCGGAAUUACUGGGCGUAAAGCGCGCGUAGGUGGUUUGUUAAGUUGGAUGUGAAAGCCCCGGGCUCAACCUGGGAACUGCAUUCAAAACUGACAAGCUAGAGUAUGGUAGAGGGUGGUGGAAUUUCCUGUGUAGCGGUGAAAUGCGUAGAUAUAUGGAGGAAUACCAGUGGCGAAGGCGGCCUCCUGGCUCGAUACUGACGCUGAGGUGCGAAAGCGUGGGGAUCAAACAGG